CUUACCUGGGUUUGACAUGCACCAGACAUCCCUAGAGAUAGGGCUUCCCUUGUGGUUGGUGUGCAGGUGGUGCAUGGCUGUCGUCAGCUCGUGUCGUGAGAUGUUGGGUUAAGUCCCGCAACGAGCGCAACCCUUGUUCCAUGUUGCCAGCACGUUAUGGUGGGGACUCAUGGGAGACUGCCGGGGUCAACUCGGAGGAAGGUGGGGAUGACGUCAAGUCAUCAUGCCCCUUAUGUCCAGGGCUUCACACAUGCUACAAUGGCUCAUACAGAGGGCUGCGAGACCGUGAGGUGGAGCGAAUCCCUUAAAGUGAGUCUCAGUUCGGAUCGGGGUCUGCAACUCGACCCCGUGAAGUUGGAGUCGCUAGUAAUCGCAGAUCAGCAACGCUGCGGUGAAUACGUUCCCGGGCCUUGUACACAC
rnacentral:rRNA from 1 species